UCCACAGGAGACAUCCUGGUUUACAUAGCAGCCCCAUGAAGACUUUGAAAAAAGCUUGGAUGUCAAAAAUUUCAAAGGCAAAACAAUUCUCCAGGAAGAUAUGUCAACUUUGUCCUGUGGUGUUCUGGAUCCUAAUUUGAGAAUCACAGCACUGAAAUAAAGCAGAGUAAGGAGACACAGAACUUGGGGCCUGACAUUCCACACCGUGACUGUAUGAUCUUGGAUAAGAGCUCACCUGCCCCAACUAUAAAAUAAAGGAAACUUCUAUAAAAGACAGAAGGUGAUUCAUCAAGCGAAUUACAUUGAUUACCUUCCCUGUUGGCCACUGAGCUUUCAGAAUGGAGAAAGACUAGAGACAAAUUUGGUCUACCUAACAAAAUCCAGACAAAGAGGGGUGCAGAUGAGAAUCACCCACCAUGUGGGCUGCAGCGCGGGCAGAGUGUUC